CCGGCGGCAGCGCCCGGAGCGGAUAGGAGAUGCCACGAACCGCCUCGCCAGUGCUAGGCUUUGUUGGGCUACGUCACUUCCGCCGCGGUCCCGCCCCCAGCGUGGUCGUAACCCAAGGCAACGGCCCAUCCGGCAGCGACCUGAGUAGCUCUUGCCAGUAGGCCGGGACUAGCUGUCUCGGGGCCUUCCAUCCGCUUGGCCCCACAGGUUUUGUUUUGUUUUGUUUUGUUUUGUUUUGUUUGAGAUGGAGUUUCGCUCUUCUUGUCCAAGCUGGAGUGCAAUGGCACAAUCUUGGCUCACUGCAACCUCCGCCUCCCGGGUUCAAGUGAUUCUUCUGCCUCAGCCCCCUGAGUAGCUGGGGUUACAGCACAGGAAAAAGAAGAUAAAGUAGGAGAGGGAUCAGUUUCACAUUCAGUCCUAAGCAGCAACACGGUUGAGAUGUAAUCAUAAAAGCAAAUAUUUCACCCAGGACAUGGAAAAGCGGCGGAUCACCAGAAAGCAGAGAGUCAAACGCUGCAAGCAGAAGCAGUAAGAAGACGCCACGUUUGGAGCAAGGUCUUAUUUACACCUGCCAUGGUCAUCGGCUCGCUCUUUUAGGUCUCCCCAACCCGGCCCCCAAAAAGAGGUUAUAUGCAGAGAGUGACAAAACUCAGAUCCAGCUUGUGGAUGCACUUGGGGAAACAGCUCCAGAG
rnacentral:lncRNA from 1 species